UCACUGCAACUGAAUGUGUAGAAAGCCAGUGGGCCAUUCAUUAUAAUCACCAGAGUACAACAGACCUUAGUGUCCAGGAACUGAUUUCAUGUUCUCGGUCAAAAGGAUGUUCAGGUGGCAGUACCUUUCUAGCCCUUAAUUGGUUACAAACAGAGAAUUACACACUUGCUCCAGCUAAAGAAUUCCCUUAUGUGGAUAAAGAAACAACUUGUAAACGCAAUCUUUUGACUGAAAAGGGAGUGAGGAUAAGAUGCGGGUGUUAGGUGCAGAU